AAACCAGCACCUCAAGUGGUCAGGAUGAUUAUUGGGCCUAAAGCAUCCGUAGCCGGCUCUGUAAGUUUUCGGUUAAAUCUGUACGCUCAACGUACAGGCUGCCGGGAAUACUGCAGAGCUAGGGAGUGGGAGAGGUAGACGGUACUCGGGAGGAAGGGGUAAAAUCCUUUGAUCUCUCGAUGACCACCUGUGGCGAAGGCGGUCUACCAGAACACGUUCGACGGUGAGGGAUGAAAGCUGGGGGAGCAAACCGGAUUAGAAACCCCAGUAGUCC
rnacentral:rRNA from 1 species